AGAGGCAUAAGAAUAUUGACCUCUCAAUUCUCUCAAAUAUGGAGACAGCUUUAUACGUUUGUUGUAGUAGUAAUUGCAAACCGCGUUAUUGUGAGAAACGAAAAAGGAAAACGAAUUAACGAACACCACCGUCUCAGGCAGAGGCGCUAGUUCUUCUCUCAUGGCCUGGUCUCUCGAGCAAGAUCCCUCAUGGAUCUUCUCCUGGACCUCCUAGGCCGCCUCCUUCCCGCCAAUUUCCUCGUCUCACCUCCUGCGUCAUAAUUCAUCAAAAUCCAAUUCGUUAGGGUUCGUGAUUUUGAUCAUGAGUGAUUUCGACCAUGGGUUGGUUGUCUAACAUUUCCUUCUCUUCUUCCUCCUCGUCGUCCCCUUCUUCGUUUUCGUCGGUGUUCAGAUCAUCGUCUGCCGAGUCGCCAAAACAGAAGGCGAGCGAUGACGGAGGAUGGAUGUUCCGAUCCAGGAGGAAGCUCACGCGACAGAGGAAGCAGCUUUUGAUCAGCGGCGGCGGCGGAGGAGACCAAGACGGUGGAGGUGGAGCCAUGAACAAAUGUCCGAAUUCUCCGUUGCCUGAAAUUGCAUCGUCGCUGGCUACUCCGCAGCCGCUUCCUUUGCCGGAAUUGACGAAAGAGAGGUGCCGGAAAGAGAGGGGCUCGGGUUGCAAUUCCGGUGAUUUUGGAGACAGUCGAUUGCCGUCUCCCAAGGCCGGUGACGGUGCCGCCUUGAACACUCCGAUUCAGAGUGUGAUUGCUUCCCGAGACACAAGAAAGAAUCAUGACCAUGCAUUCGAGACAAGAUCAAGGUCUAGGUGGAAGAAUCGAGAUAUGAAUGGUUUAGAGAUCGAUCAAAAAGACUUCAGGCUUGAUGUUCCUAUUUGGAGCGCUCCUGCUAGUCCUUUCUCAAGUCCUACAUUCAGCCCACACAGACCCAGUGCUGGUGAUCUGCUCCCUCACAUUAAUCCUAUGGGAAAUCAAGUCUGGUCUGCCCCUGAGAUGCCCACUUCCGAUAUGAAUCCCGGGCUUCCUCCCCCUGCCUUCUCAGAUUACUCUAUAGUUAGCAAUGAUAAUUCCCCUAUACACAGUCCUUCAAAUAGAAGUCCCUGCCGAAACCCCAGAAGCCCACCAGGCUCAACAUCACCAUUGCAUACCAAAUUAUCAAUUGAAGCCUCCACAGCCCGGCGCGAGGGUAAUGGUUAUGUUGAAUUCCAUCCAUUGCCUUUGCCUCCUGGAGCAAACCUUAGCCUACCUUCGCCACAAGCUCUACUCACACCCAAACCAGAGUCCCAGCCAGUCAAAGGACAAUGGAAAAAGGGAAAGCUUAUUGGGCGUGGCACGUUUGGAAGUGUUUAUGUUGCUACCAAUAGAGAAACUGGAGCCUUAUGUGCAAUGAAGGAAGUUGAAUUAUUUCCUGAUGACCCAAAAUCUGCAGAAUGUAUAAAGCAGCUACAGCAGGAAAUCAAAGUUCUCAGCCAGCUGGAGCAUCCUAAUAUUGUGCAGUACUAUGGAAGUGAAAUAGUUGAUGAUCGAUUUUAUAUAUAUCUGGAGUACGUCCAUCCUGGUUCUAUUAACAAAUAUGUCCAUGAACAUUGUGGAGCCAUAACGGAAGCUGUUGUUCGCAGUUUCACUCGCCAUAUACUCUCUGGGUUGGCUUACUUGCACAGCACAAAGACAAUACACAGGGACAUCAAAGGGGCUAAUUUGCUUGUCGAUUCAUGUGGGGUUGUCAAGCUAGCUGACUUUGGAAUGGCAAAACAUCUUUCGGGACACGUGGAGAAUCUUUCUCUGAAGGGAAGUCCAUACUGGAUGGCUCCAGAGCUCAUGCAAGCUGUGAUGCAUAAAGAUAACAACUCUGAUCUAGCUCUUGCUGUUGAUAUAUGGAGUUUGGGUUGCACUAUUAUUGAGAUGUUCACCGGAAAACCUCCUUGGAGUGAGUAUGAAGGGGCUGCAGCCAUGUUUAAAGUUAUGAAAGAUCUUCCACCAAUUCCCGAAACAUUGUCAUCUGAGGGUAAGGAUUUCCUGAGAUGCUGCUUUCGAAGAAAUCCUGCAGAGAGGCCAACUGCUGCCGUGUUAUUAGAACAUCGAUUCUUAAAAAAUUCUCAGCCGCAGGAUGUCCAGUCUGUCACCCCGUCUGUCACCCAGGCAUCUAAUGCGAUGAAUUACAUGGGUAAACCCCGUCCAGUCGAACUUGAAAGAAAAUACGAUCAGUCACUGAUGAUUCCAGGCAUACUUGGACCCCAGACCAGUGCAUUCCCAAUUCGGUGAUUGCCAAGUCUUGGAUGCUGACAGAUCCAGCUUCUUGCAAAAUUCUUUUUCUCCAGUAAACUGGCCAACAAUGUCCUUAUGAAACUUCAAAUUUAACAGUGGCCUCAUGUUAACCUUGAGGGCCUUCCCAGAUCAUCUUCUCCAGCUCAGUUUGCAAUUCAAAUACCCCAUCCCCCCUGCCGAAAGCUAUAUUGUUUUCAGAUGACUUGCGGAGAGGGAAUGAUAGCUGCCUUUCUGUUCAUAUUUCUGCAGAGAAAGCGGCUUCUGAAUUGUAGGCGUAGCGGAUGAUGCUCUGGUAGGUGAUUCGCGGGCAUAGGGUGUUACUACCCUUGUAGGUUCUUUCCCUCAUCCUUUUUGAUGGCGUGGAAGUUUAUCUUGCACUGGGACCUUUUUUCGGUCGAAAGCACUGGGACCUUAGAAGCAGUUUUUGUAUGCCACUAACUUAUUUUAGAGCUUCAGCAGAAGAAGUCUUUCGACAAGGCCUUCUGAAGGCAGCCAUGACAAAGUGCUCUGACGGGGUUGAAACUUGAACCCAUUUGAACAUUUAUAUCCUCUUCUCCCCCGUAGCUCUCCAGAGAGUGCUCAGAGAGACAUAGAUGGAACCUCCGCCGGCACAAGCCAUAGACACUUCCAGCAACAAUCUUCAGGCAGGAGAAGAUGAGCAGGACAAAGUCAUCAAUGAAUGUUGUUCCUGCUUUUAUGACUGCACAGAGACCUGCUUGGAUUACUUAUUCUGUAAUCUCUGUUAGAUGAGAUGGGAUUAGAUUAAGCAUAUAAGUUCAUGUUGGUACUA